UACGUAGGGACCGAGCGUUGUCCGGAUUCACUGGGCGUAAAGCGCACGUAGGCGGAUUGCUAAGUCAGGGGUGAAAUCCUGGAGCUCAACUCCAGAACUGCCUUUGAUACUGGCGAUCUUGAGUCCGGGAGAGGUGAGUGGAACUGCGAGUGUAGAGGUGAAAUUCGUAGAUAUUCGCAAGAACACCAGUGGCGAAGGCGGCUCACUGGCCCGGUACUGACGCUGAGGUGCGAAAGCGUGGGGAGCAAACAGG
rnacentral:rRNA from 1 species